rnacentral:sRNA from 1 species
CUAUCUUUGUUGACAAUAUCUCAUCAUGAACCCUCUUUGUUGUUUCCUGUCAUCGUCGCUCGUUUCAUUUUUGGUGAACUUCAACCAUUAAUAGUGUUCACCAUAACCACUACUGUCACGCGCCUACCAUUGGUCAUUCCUCCUCCGCAGUAGUCGUUUUGAGCACCUCCUUGUUGCGCCUUGCCUUGGGUUCCAACUACAACACACUCCCUAUUUAGAUUCGCCUCCACUCUAUUGUUGUCAUAUCUCACUCCGCACCACCACUAAAGCUCACUCCCAUUUCCAGCGAGGUCAUCGACGAGGUCAUCGACGAGCUUUAUGUGUUGGUAUUCUUAAAGGAACUUGAGGUGAAUAUAUGGAAAGGAUGUGUACUUCAUCCAUAAAGCUGAAGACUCAUGAGGAGUAGGAAGGAAGUAUGAUUUUAGCUCUAGAGUUAAGUUGGUUUUGGUUGCUAAGCUAUGUGUGAGAGUUAUGUUGAUGAUUGAACCUCUUGGACCAAGUUUACAUGUGGAUUCAUUAUUUUGGUUGAUACAACAAUAAUUAUUAUUUAAUUAUGUGCUAUUAUAUGAAUUAACGAAAGAUUGAAUGAGAC